rnacentral:tRNA from 1 species
GCCUCUGUAGCUCAGUUGGUAGAGCGCUGCGUUGAAGGCGCAGGCGUCGCUGGUUCGAUUCCAGCCGGGGGUACCA